AUGGCCUCCUCUAGCGCAAGCAACUCCACCCUCUCUGGCCAGAUCACCGAACGCCUCACCCGAACAAACUACAUCCUAUGGCGAACUCAGAUCACACCACAGCUUCGGGGGGCAGGGUUCUUCAGCUACGUAGACGGGAGCAUGCCGGAGCCGGCCAAGGUCGUCGUCAGCAAGGACAAGGAUGGCAAGGAGGAGUCCAUCCCCAACCCGAUUCACUCGGUUUGGAUCCGAGAGGAUCAGCAGGUGCUUGGUUACCUUCUGAAUAACCUCUCCAAAGAAGUGCUUGUACAGGUGACAUCGAUCGCCCACGCGCACGAACUCUGGACAGCAUUGGCGAGCAUGUUCUCAUCCACAUCGCUGUCCCGCAUCAACAACAUCCGCGCGUCGCUGACGAACGCACAGAAAGGACAGCAGUCGGUGCCCUCCUACUUUGCAUCCAUGCGGGGUUUCGCCGACGAGCUAGCUGCAGCAGGCAAGCCCCUGCAAGAUGAUGAGUUGAUCUCCUACAUCCUCAACGGGUUGGAUAUGGAGUAUCAACCGCUCGUCUCCGCCCUCGAUGCUCGAGUCCCUGUCACCCUUGAUGAGUUGUUCUCUAUGAUGAGCAAUUUUGAUCAACGGGUGGCCAUCUUCCAAGGAGCAGGCGCAGGAGGCGGCUUCAAAUCUUCUGCCAACGCUGCCACCCGCGGUCGUGGCGGGAGCUCACGUCAUCGAGGUCCUCCGCGGAACAGCAAGGGCAAGGGCAGCGGCGGCGGAGGCAACAACAGCAACAACUCUGCACGCCACGGCGGCGGCGGUCGGCCCUCCUACACCAACAACAGGGGCCGGCGCAAUGGCAGCUCCUCCAACAGCAGGUCUCACCCCGACACAAUCAGAUGCCAAAUCUGUGGGAAGCCGGGGCACUCUGCCAAGGACUGCUGGUAUCACUUUGAUGAAGACGAUGAUGAUUCUUCUCAAGAUGAAAAAGUGGCCGGAGCUGUUGAUGGCUCCUACGGUGUCGACACAAAUUGGUACGUCGACAGCGGUGCCACAAACCACAUCACCGGCGAGCUUGACAAGGUGACUAUGCGAGAGAAGUACCGUGGCAAAGAUCACAUCCACACCGCGAGUGGAGAAGGCAACGAGGAAGGUGCUAUAUCGAGGUAG
rnacentral:rRNA from 1 species